GACGAACGCUGGCGGCGUGCUUAACACAUGCCAGUCGAACGGAAAGGCCCUGCUUUUGUGGGGUGCUCGAGUGGCGAACGGGUGAGUAACACGUGAGUAACCUGCCCUUGACUUUGGGAUAACUUCAGGAAACUGGGGCUAAUACCGGAUAGGAGCUCCUGCUGCAUGGUGGGGGUUGGAAAGUUUCGGCGGUUGGGGAUGGACUCGCGGCUUAUCAGCUUGUUGGUGGGGUAGUGGCUUACCAAGGCUUUGACGGGUAGCCGGCCUGAGAGGGUGACCGGCCACAUUGGGACUGAGAUACGGCCCAGACUCCUACGGGAGGCAGCAGUGGGGAAUAUUGACCAAUGGGCGGAAGCCUGAUGCAGCAACGCCGCGUGCGGGAUGACGGCCUUCGGGUUGUAACCCGCUUUCGCCUGUGACGAAGCGUGAGUGACGGUAAUGGGUAAAGAAGCACCGGCUAACUACGUG
rnacentral:rRNA from 1 species